UGUAAAGAUGUGGGCUGUGUUCUAGUGCUUUGGUAAUGUAGGUGAGCAAGCCUGUCUUUAGAAAAGCAUUGAUUUAGUUCAUUUUGGAUAACGGAGAAGCCAUCUAGAGGGUUUGGGAAGUCACCGUGCUAUGACUGAUUGUACCCUGGAACCAUCUGAGCAAAUACGGACCUCGCAGAAAGCAUCAGCAACCCCCGAUCCAUCAAGGCUCUGCUAAACAAACCCCAACAAUUUACAACGUGACCUCACGUUGUGCCUGUAAAUGGAUUCUGUGAAAGGCCUUUCCCCAGGAUAAAUCUCCUAGCCCAGACGUGGGAGAACCAGACAUGAUGCUUCUGUAGAGAACGUAUUGCAGGUGGACAAACAUGCAUUGAAAUCUCUUUUUCUGUCUGUGCAUGCGCAUGCUGCAUAACAUUAAAGGUGACCAGAUCCAUUGA